rnacentral:tRNA from 1 species
GGUAAAAUGGCUGAGAGUAAGCAUUAGACUGUAAAUCUAAAUACAGAGGUUCAUAACCUCUUUUUACCA